CAACCUGAACUCAGUCGUGAUUACCCGACUGAACUUAAGCAUAUCAUUUAGCGGAGGAAAAGAAACUAAAAAGGAUUCCCCUAGUAACGGCGAGUGAAACGGGAAGAGCCCAGCGCCGAAUCGAUCAGUCUUUGGCUGCUUCGAAAUGUGGCGUAUAGGUGUAGUCUUCCAGCAGUGUCGUAUGUCCGAAGUCCUUGCGAUUGAGGCCAUAAACCAGAGAGGGUGCGAGCCCCGUUCUGGAUAGCGGCGCUGUUGGUUCGACUGCUCCUUGGAGUCGGGUUGCUUGAAAGUGCAGCCUAAAGUGGGUGAUAAACUUCAUCUAAGGCUAAAUAUUGACUCGAUUGCGAUAGCGAACAAGUACCGUGAGGGAAAGUUGCAAAGGACUUUGAAGAGAGAGUUCAAGAGAACGUGAAAUCGCUGGAGUGGAACCGGAGACAGUUGAUGUUGCUUGGAGACAAUCUUGGUGGCUGAUCGCUUAGCUGUGAUCGCCGCCGGGAGUCGUUUCCUAUGCUACGCCGACGGCGUUGGCCGCUCGUUCUGGCCCGACAGUGUUGCCCAUCUCGCAAGAGACGGUGUCUUGUUGUCGGUCGUUGGUUCGUGGUGGCUAGCGUUUAGUUACGCUAGUGUGUGUGACGUCGGUGUGAAAGUCGACGACGUUUCCGACCCGUCUUGAAACACGGAUUACGGAGUGUUUGUCUGCUGCGAGUCAAAGGGUGUAAAAACCUUGCGGCGCAAUGAAAGUGAAGGUUAGUCUCGAACUGACCGACGUGGGAUCCGUGCUCUUCGGAGUGCGGCGCACCACGGCCCUAUGCGUGUCACUUGUGACUGUGUAGAGGUUGAACAGUAGGCAAGCGACCCGAAAGAUGGUGAACUAU
rnacentral:ncRNA from 1 species